rnacentral:rRNA from 1 species
UGCCAGACUCCUACGGGAGGCAGCAGUGGGGAAUAUUGCACAAUGGGGGAAACCCUGAUGCAGCGACGCCGCGUGAGUGAAGAAGUAUUUCGGUAUGUAAAGCUCUAUCAGCAGGGAAGAUAAUGACGGUACCUGACUAAGAAGCCCCGGCUAACUACGUGCCAGCAGCCGCGGUAAUACGUAGGGGGCAAGCGUUAUCCGGAUUUACUGGGUGUAAAGGGUGCGCAGGCGGAAUGUCAAGUCAGCGGUAAAAUUUCGGGGCUCAACCCCGGCGUGCCGUUGAAACUGGCGUUCUUGAGUGAGCGAGAAGUAUGCGGAAUGCGUGGUGUAGCGGUGAAAUGCAUAGAUAUCACGCAGAACUCCGAUUGCGAAGGCAGCAUACCGGCGCUCAACUGACGCUCAUGCACGAAAGCGUGGGUAUCGAACAGGAUUAGAUACCCCAGUAUA